UACCUAGAAGCAUCAGUCGCGAUACCAAGAGACCCCCCCUCCCCGAACUUCUUCUUCUCCAAAAACAACAGACCUGACCCCAAAAACAUUCCUCUUCAAGCUGGACCAGUCGCCCAUCCUCAUGAGACCAAUGGAUUUUCUCCCUUAGCUUGGAAGAACACGAAACAACUUCACAAAGAAGGAGUUGCAACUGCAAAAAUAAGCAACGAACCAGCCCUUCAUCUCAUGCCAAAUGACAACCCUUCUACUUCUUCCCAUUAACAAAGCUCGCCGGAAACCAGCACCCAACAGCCAUGCCUCAUUCGUCUACACCUACAGCCAGCUGCUGUCGCGAUCUCACCGUCCCUAACAAAACGAGGCAAAAGAGGAAAAGACAGAACAGAGUAGAGCGAACGGACAAGAGAUUUUAGGGAAGAAGGCUUUUCUUCAAAUUGUAGGUUCCUAUCAUUCUAUUAGUUUAAGUUCCAAAAAUCAGAAAAAGUAUAAAAGAUAGUUCUAUUUUUUUUUCUUGAUUUUUGAAUUUCAACUCCUGAUUGUAAAAAUGGAGACCGUUUGAGGUUCGACAUCGGAUUGUGAUUUGAUUCCAUCCACCGCUUAAGGUCCGCGAUUUCUGCCGGGUUUUCGCCGAUGAUUUCGUUCAGAGUUAGAGUUGAAACUUGGCACUCGACAAUUUUUCUACCAAUAUUAAAGAAAUAUUUGUUUAAACAGGUUCGUUUUCUCACUAUUUCAUCUUCCUCGAUUUUCUUGUUGUGAAUUUAAGUAUCAAAGAGUUAUGUUAAGAUGAGUUUGUUUUACAUGUGUUUAUGUGGUGAUAGAAUUGUUAUGGUGCAUUUGUGAGUUGAUUUUCAGUUGUUUGAUUCUUUGAAUCUGCUUUCAUCUGGUUUGAAUUAGUUUCUCGUCUUCUGUUAUUAUUGAUAAAAUACAAUGAAAAGAGGUAAAAGGAAAAGAAGUCACCUGGUGAUUUUCAUAUUAGUUUCUUCAUCAUAAAAGGGCAGAACAAGCAGAAGUGAGACUUACAAUAUUUUUGGUUUUAGCUUUUUAGUAGUUUCAAGAGCUUUUGACAUCGGGUAAUGUUUAAAAUGUUUCUUUGGUCCCAAGUGAGUUCUAUUACUGAAUCUGCAUAUUUCAGAGUAAAAUCCACAAUACAAAUGUGAGGUCUUUCCAGAGUGGUAAUUUGAGUAAAUUAUUUAUGUCCAAUAUGUCAUGCAUUCAGUGCCAUAGUUUUGAUUUGGUUUCCCAUGUCACAGCGACCUCAUUCAUAUGAAAAGUGUAUUGAAUUUUGAGUUUAGUUUUGACCCUUAGUUCUAGGAUCUAACUCGUUAUGCUAGGAAGGAAUUGGUGUGGGGUAGUAGUCUUUGACUGGCUUUUCUUAUUGACUUUAAUUCACAUUUCCUCUAUUCUAAUAGUGUUUAGUUUAGUUCUCCAUCUUUUUUAAAGAUGUUAUCUGUUGGAUGCCUUAUUUUGGUGAUAUAAAAUUGUUUGAAUGAACAUUGGUUGACAUGGACUGUGGGGAUAGGAAAGGAACGACUUCUUUAGCUAUUAAAUUUUGACUUGCAUGAUUAUGAAUUGGGUUGGGUUAAAUAUGUGAACAAAGAACUUGAUCAUGAAUUGAAUUUUUCUUUUAGUUUCUCUUAGUUGCUUAUUUUUAUUUCUUUACAUUGUUCUCUAGGAGCAUGUUUAGGCCGACUACACUUGGGUAGGUAAACUUUUUUGGCGCGUAAGUAAUCAUCGUGACUGUGGGUACGGUUAACGUUGCAUAGUCAUGAUACAUAACUCCAAAUUCGAGUGUGUAUUUCAUAUGAUCCGAUCAUAAUUAAUAAUAAUAAAAAUUAAAUAUGUUGUAGAUCAUGGGUACGACUCCCGUGACACGAUUCACAAUGUGUCCAAAACAAACGAGUGUACGACAAUCGUAACUUGUCCAAGAAUAAUUUCAUAAAUAAUUAAAAGCGGUCAAAAUCUAAAAAUGCACAAUAGGUAUAAAACAUGCAAUUAAUCAGAUAAUUAGGCCAAUAAUAAUAGUUGAGCGACCGUGCUAAAACCAUUGAGCCCGGAAAUGCCUAACAUAUUUUUCUGGGUUAACAGAAUUCCUUACCCAAAUUUCUGUGUUCGCAGACCAUAAAUAAGAGUCAAACUUCCUCGAUUCAGGAUUUUAAUCCGGUAACUUGGGACACCAUAAAUUAUCCCAAGUGGCGAGUCUGAAUUUGAAUAAUUAAUCCCGUUUUGACUUUUGUCAUUUAAAUUAGAAAAACUCCCUUAUAUCCCUUUCGGAUAGAAAAAGGAGGAGUGACAAGGUGAUGCAUAUUUUGUUCAUAGAUGUUUAGGAAUUAGAAGUACGGGGUAGGCGGUCACAGACUAAACACAUUGCUACAAUUGUGGUGGUUGUUGAACCUAUGCAUCGCUAUUGGCAAGUUGUGAAUGUGUUAUUUUGUUGAAUAUGGGGUAGUUUGAUUCCCCUGGUUCAUGCCUGUGAGCAUGCUAAUGACAUAAGUUUGGGGUGGCUCUACCCCUGUUUUGGCCUUGCUUCUGCUUUGAUGUGUCAUAGUUAAGUUGUGCAUCUUGUGUAGGAACAAUGUCUCGCCAUGCUAGAAAACGUAUGAAUACUGGCGCUCCUGCAGGUGCUUUCAGUAGCCGUCAGCAUGCUAAGAGAGAACCCACAGUUGUGGACUCCUCAGACUGCUCAAACCCUGAUGUGCCAUACUCGAAUGUUGAUAUGCUAUAGCCCAUAUAUGGGGUUUAAUCAACGUUUCCCCAUCACGCGAGUGGUUCCGUGAUUUGUCCCAUCUGGGGAGCCUAUUACUGAUGUUGGGAUUGAUUGGCGAAAGUUUCAGAAGAAAUAUCCAGAGCUAUAUGCUAAUAUGCUAGAUCCCACAUAUGAUUCCAUCGGAGAAGAUAAUUUUGGUAUAGUAAAGGAGUUCUACGCCAACUGGGUACCCAGAUUCCAGUAUGAUAGGGAGUAACACUAUCAAAAUUCAUAAAAAGUGGGUCAAGGUUUUUGUUGAGAUAAUUAAUGAUGAGUUGGGGUUUAUGAAUGAGUCCCAUGCUCAAUUCAAGUCAUUUAUGAAAAGGCCUGCUUAUCAAGCCAUCCGCGAACUUAUCUGUAGACCUAAUUAUUUGGCAAUUUGGAAUAGGGAUAAGGUUGACCAUCAUUCCACCAUGACUCGAGCCAAUUUGCAGCUACCCGCCAAAGUGUUGUUACGGUUAUCAAUAAAAAAAAUUACCAAGUAAUAAUGAUUCCAUUGUUUCGCGCCUCUAGGUAUGUUUGAUAUAUGCUAUGGUAACCUAGAUACCAUUGAAUAUGGGCAAGAUUAUUAUUGCUAACAUAGCUAGGGUAAGGAUGGUUGGAUUGCGAAGGUUGCUAUAUCCGAGCAUGUUGACUAGGAUGCUACUACACCACGGUGUGCUUGUUGAUGAUCAGUUUGAUCGACAGCUUUUCCUAGUCACCAAGCUUUAUGAUAUCACUAUUGUGUAGGAUUCGGGUCCUUCGAGAGUCACUAUGACCUCGGACAAGAGGCAUGACAGAAUGGAGGAUAUGAUACGAUUUAUGUUUGCUGACAUGCAACUUCGAGCUGCUCGUGGAGAGGUUGACAUUGAGGAUUUGGCAUAGCAGUACCAUUUGGGUUCCCCUACUAGGCAUUUUUUUUCCUAUUGGAUGGUAGUCCUGCACUUCGUCCUGAUGAAGAUGUCAACUUUGUUGCGGAGGACGAUGAUGAGACUGCUAUUGGCGGCACUACUGGUGUCAAUGACUAGGCCUAGGCCUUAGGGAGUCCUUUACCACCCUUGUUUUAUUGCUUUGCUUGGGGGACAAUGCUAUCUCUUAAGUGUGGGGUGUGGUCUUCCCAGUUGCUUGUAUUUGUUUUGUUUUGUUUCUUGCUUAUUAUAUAAUGUGGCAUGUAAUCGUAACUCUGAAUUUUAUUCGGCCUCUAAUAGCUAGUAACUCAUGUAGUAGUAGUUCGACUUUUCCCAAUGAUGGAUUUCGUCGAUUGGCUUCUUGAGGGAUUUGAAGUCGAAAGAGAAAAUUACAAACAAAAAAAAUCAAAAAUUUUGAAAAUCCAAAAAAAAUAUGUCUUUUUUUCCUUCUUAGGUAGUGUAAUAAUUUUUUCUUGAUUUUUCUUUGUGUCGUGGUUCUUUUUCAAGGAUUUACUUGAACCGGGUGUAGUAGUUUUUUAUUUUUUUUUAUUUUAGAGAAUAUAGAAUCUUGAGUCACAGUGCUAAUUUGAAGUAAUUUUUCUUAACUGCAUAUGCCUUGAGAGUGGUGAGUGCCUUAGUUGUGAUGCCUAGACUCACUUCUUGACUCUUAGAUAAGUACCUUAAAUUGGUUGAUUGUGACUCUGCGUAAAUGCUUUGACUAGAGAGUCAGGAUAGACCCGAUCCUCUGUGGAGCAUGAAUUUGAUUUCUAAGAGUGAGUGAAUUCUUUCUAUCUUGAGUUCCUAUGUGUUCUUGAAUUUUAUUGCCUGUGGAACUACUCUCUAUUGUUUGUGUGAGGGCACAUGAUUUGCGAAGGUAAGAUAAAGUCUUUGACCUCUGUGUUAGAAUAAGUGAACAGGUUAUGAAAAAUGUGUGGUGCUUUUGAGUCGAGUCUUGAGGUUAGGAUGUUAUGAUAUGGUGCUUAGUCUAUUUUAAAUAUUCUUGGCAUGAUGUAUUAGGGAAGUUGUUUAAUGAAGAGGUCGUCCCUAUGUGAAGUGUAGUUUGAUUGCUCGAGGACGAGUAAUGGUCUGAGUGUGGGAUAUUGAUGGUAGGCUAGAAACCCGUAUUUUAGCGGUAGUUUACACUCUAAAUUACUGCAUUUUACGUAUGUUUGAGCUUAAAUGAUGGCGAUUUGCACUUAUUAAGUGUUUUUAUAUCGUGCAGGAAAUGAUUCCGAGUUAAAAAGGAUAAAUUGGAGCUAAAUCGAAUAAUUGGAGCUUUGAAGUCUGAGUAAAAGCCAAAGAAUUAAACUAGGAUCGCAUCCGGGUCUAUGACAGGCGUUGCAUAUGAAAGGGGGAAGAAAGUGCAAGGGCCAGAACAAAUGGACUAAUGUGACGCACAAAGCGUAGCAGCAUGCGACACAUUAGUGCAAAUAUGCAUCAGAAGUUUGACAAGUUCAGAGAAUGGUUUUUUUAUCUGACAAGCAAAUGCACUACUAGGACGCGGCCUGCGAUGCACUAAUGCAAAAUUCUGUCAGACACGCGGAGUUCAGAGAGUUUGCAACUGAGUAAACUAAACUGAUGUGAUGCAUUCUGCGACGCAUUGUGCGACGAGUGAAGUGUAAAGAGUUUGUUGGGUUCGCACUUCGGCUCAAAGAGGGUAGUUUCGUCCGGGUUCAUUCCUACUUGGUAUAAAAUACACUAGAAAUACAUUUUUUGAGGACUUUUGACCUACGAAAUAUUUGAGAACCAACUAAGGUAAGAAGACUCAAGACGUCAUCAGGAUUUCAACCAACGAUCGGUGCAAUACAGGAGUUUGUAUUGAAGCAUUAGCAUUGAUGUUUUCUUUGUUCAUAAACCUUAUUGAGAUGAUUUAUUCCAUUACUAUGGAGUAAAUUCUAUUAGGAUGUUGACAGAUACGGUAUUUUGAUAACUUGAUUAGGGAUCGAUUCUUGAUAAUUGCUGGAGUUUAAUUCGUAUUGUGGAGUUAUUUCUUAUUUUCUUAAUCGAAAGAGGAG
rnacentral:lncRNA from 1 species